rnacentral:lncRNA from 1 species
AACUUUGAUCGAAUUUAUUGCACAAUUAAAAUAUUUUGAUUAAAGAAUAUUCUUACAGGAUUAAUUGUCUUUUUUCACCAUUUUUCGUUUAUAUGGCAAGUGUCAUCCCUUUCUUAUGAUUUCUAAUAGAUUUUUACAUGUCUAUUUAUGGUAAAUUUGACAAAAUUUUCUCUCCUAAUUAAUUUGGCUAAGCUAAUUGCAUCUCUCAAUUAUUUUCUCUCCUUUAAUAAUUAUCUUCUUUUCACUAUAUAAAAGGGACUUCCUCUCACCAUUAAAUCAAACUUUUGAUCCUCACUUAGGGAUACUCUUAGAGACCUAAGAACAUUACUUUUCUCUAAAAAAAAAAUAUUUCUUUGUGUAUGGAUGCUUUGGCUACUAACUAUUACCAUCAGUUCUUACUUAGAAAACACGAUUUUCCUAUUUGUAUUUAUUAUUCUCGAUGCUAACUGGUUAGUUUUAUCUAACAAUGCAUUAGUUUUUUGGUAUUUAUCCUAUGGGAUUAUGAUCUUUUCUAGAUUUAUGUACUUUAAAUGCUUGGUGUCAUAAGUCUCCUACGCUUUUGUGCACUUCCGUGGCCUAUUAGGCUUUUUUGUUUUUUGCUUUUGUUGGUGACAUAUUUUCCUCUGUCUAUUUGCAUUAAGUAUUUUUUUUUCCCUCAGCGAAGUAUUGUUGUAUGUGAAUCUGAAAUAAUCUCUACACAAUGCAUAACCCUUUUGGCGUGAGCCUACCUGGGAUCCUUGAGAUUCUUAGGAUCUCAACAAUGCCAAAGAUUAGUUAUGAGUUGCCAAAGGUUUGUUUUGGAUUCAAGGAGUGUUUUGGUAUCUUUGUUUAUGUUCAUAGGUUAAAGACGAGCAUUUAGAUGAGAUAAAGAGUUGUCAGAGAUUUGGGAGAAGUGAAGGGCUAUCUAAUAUAGCUCUUCUCCAUUUUUUUAUUUCAUUCAUUUUGGGUUUGUAAUAAUAUAUUUUACAAACUGUACGACUAUAGUAAAUAAAAUUACAGGGACUGCUUAUGGGGAGCGUGGAUUAUAUGACUUGAAUGUUUGAUAACGUAAUUACUUUAUCACCUAG